rnacentral:rRNA from 1 species
AUGUACAUUCCUAUAGUGUUAAUGCACCAAAUCCCAUUAGAAUUCUGCAGUUAAGCGUGCUUGGGCUAGAGUAGUACUGGGAUGGGUGACCUCCCGGGAAGUCCUAGUGUUUUACAUU